UACGUAGGCAGCGAGCGUUGUUCGGAUUUACUGGGCGUAAAGGGUGUGUAGGCGGUUCUUUAAGUUUGGUGUGAAAUCUCCCGGCUCAACUGGGAGGGUGCGCCGAAUACUGAGGGACUAGAGUACGGGAGAGGAAAGUGGAAUUCCUGGUGUAGCGGUGAAAUGCGUAGAUAUCAGGAGGAACACCGGUGGUGUAGACGGCUUUCUGGACCGUAACUGACGCUGAGACACGAAAGCGUGGGUAGCAAACAGG
rnacentral:rRNA from 1 species